AAUUUUAAGGUGGUGCUUGGAAACGUUCCAACUCGUCAUUUUUAUUCUCCCUACGCAACAAAGACAACCUUGCUCCAUUUAUUGCCAACAUCAAACAAGGUCAGGAGCAGUAUGCAAUCUACUGUUCGUCUGGUUAUGGACCACACUUUGGUGGAGGUCAUGAUCUGAUUAUUUCUAACAAUUCUCAAGUUAAUCAAUCAUCCAGCUACUUUGGACACACAUAUCAACUUCCCCCUGGUUAUGUCUUUGGCAGUGAACAAGCAAAUAACCUUCUUGCUGGUCAGUUGCAAUUCUUAACGACAGAAAUUGAAGUCUUCAACUGAAAAGUGCCUUUGUUUACUUACUUCACCGAAAAAUAACAUUACAUUGAUUACGACCGCUCUUAGCAAUGAAUUUUAGACAGUGAUAUUGCAAUACUAUCAGGGCCGUAGCGAAGAGGAUAAAGAAGGGAGGUGUAGUAUCAGAUUUGCCGACAAUAUUUCCGUCGCUAAUUAAUAUUUCUUGCCCAAAAGUGUUUGCGAGGGAGGGGGGGGGGGGGAGAAAUGUUUUUCCGGACAAAAAAAAAUUCCGGACAUAUACAAUUUUUUCCGGAUGGCCAAAAACUUUUCCAGACAUACCCAACAUUUUCCACACAUCAAAAUUUGUUAACUUUUUGCGUAGUUUUAAUUUUACUUUUUGCCUAAUAGUAUUACUUUUUCAUCCGAACCACUCUAACUAAUAUUUUCGCUGCUUACGGUGUCGAUUUGCCGAUAAAACCGUUAUUUUGCCUAAAAAUCGUUUUCAGAGGGGGGUGUGUCACACCGCCCACACCCCCUGUAGCUACGGCCCCGAGUAUUAAGAAUUAGUAUGAAUAUUUUAGUCAUGCGGGAAUCCUAAAAAUUGGAAUUGGUCGUUAGCCUAAAUUAGAAUUGGUCGUUAGCCUCACCAGUAGCAGUCACUGUAGUCAAGAAAUGAAAGGCCUCGAAGAAAAUGUGAACAACUAUAAUUGUUCCAGCAGGCAGUAAUCAAUUAUAUGUUGUUAUUUUGGUUAAUAAAACUAAAAUCAACAUUUAGGUGAAUGUUCGAAAAUUGUAUUUAAUUUUGUUACAUCGCAAUGAUACAAAAACGGUGUCAUUUGGCAGCUAAAAGCCUUACUAUCUUUAUUAGUGUGCGAAAAGUAAAUCUAUAAACUUAGUAUCUAUAAUGCACGAUAACAUGCCGAAAUUGUUUUUACCUUUUU
rnacentral:lncRNA from 1 species